UGAGGAAUAUUGGGCAAUGGGGGCAACCCUGACCCAGCAAUGCCGCGUGCAGGAGGACGCCCUUCGGGGUGUAAACUGCUUUUGUGGGGGAGCAGACAAGGAGCGUACCCCACGAAUCAGUCACGGCUAACUACGUGCCAGCAGCCGCGGUAAUACGUAGGUGGCGAACGUUAUCCGGAGUGACUGGGUGUAAAGGGUCCGUAGGCGGGAACCUAAGUCUGACGUGAAAGCGCCCGGCUCAACUGGGCGAGUGCGUUGGAAACUGGGCUUCUUGACUCACGCAGAGGUCGGCGGAAUUCCCGGUGUAGUGGUGGAAUGCGUAGAGAUCGGGAGGAACCUCGAAAGCGAAGGCAGCCGACUGGGCGCUGAGUGACGCUGAGGGACGAAAGCGUGGGGAGCGAACAGG
rnacentral:rRNA from 1 species